rnacentral:rRNA from 2 species
UGCAGUCGAGCGAACGGACGAGAAGCUUGCUUCUCUGAUGUUAGCGGCGGACGGGUGAGUAACACGUGGAUAACCUACCUAUAAGACUGGGAUAACUUCGGGAAACCGGAGCUAAUACCGGAUAAUAUUUUGAACCGCAUGGUUCAAAAGUGAAAGACGGUCUUGCUGUCACUUAUAGAUGGAUCCGCGCUGCAUUAGCUAGUUGGUAAGGUAACGGCUUACCAAGGCAACGAUGCAUAGCCGACCUGAGAGGGUGAUCGGCCACACUGGAACUGAGACACGGUCCAGACUCCUACGGGAGGCAGCAGUAGGGAAUCUUCCGCAAUGGGCGAAAGCCUGACGGAGCAACGCCGCGUGAGUGAUGAAGGUCUUCGGAUCGUAAAACUCUGUUAUUAGGGAAGAACAUAUGUGUAAGUAACUGUGCACAUCUUGACGGUACCUAAUCAGAAAGCCACGGCUAACUACGUGCCAGCAGCCGCGGUAAUACGUAGGUGGCAAGCGUUAUCCGGAAUUAUUGGGCGUAAAGCGCGCGUAGGCGGUUUUUUAAGUCUGAUGUGAAAGCCCACGGCUCAACCGUGGAGGGUCAUUGGAAACUGGAAAACUUGAGUGCAGAAGAGGAAAGUGGAAUUCCAUGUGUAGCGGUGAAAUGCGCAGAGAUAUGGAGGAACACCAGUGGCGAAGGCGACUUUCUGGUCUGUAACUGACGCUGAUGUGCGAAAGCGUGGGGAUCAAACAGGAUUAGAUACCCUGGUAGUCCACGCCGUAAACGAUGAGUGCUAAGUGUUAGGGGGUUUCCGCCCCUUAGUGCUGCAGCUAACGCAUUAAGCACUCCGCCUGGGGAGUACGACCGCAAGGUUGAAACUCAAAGGAAUUGACGGGGACCCGCACAAGCGGUGGAGCAUGUGGUUUAAUUCGAAGCAACGCGAAGAACCUUACCAAAUCUUGACAUCCUUUGACAACUCUAGAGAUAGAGCCUUCCCCUUCGGGGGACAAAGUGACAGGUGGUGCAUGGUUGUCGUCAGCUCGUGUCGUGAGAUGUUGGGUUAAGUCCCGCAACGAGCGCAACCCUUAAGCUUAGUUGCCAUCAUUAAGUUGGGCACUCUAAGUUGACUGCCGGUGACAAACCGGAAGRAAGGUGGGGAUGACGUCAAAUCAUCAUGCCCCUUAUGAUUUGGGCUACACACGUGCUACAAUGGACAAUACAAAGGGCAGCGAAACCGCGAGGUCAAGCAAAUCCCAUAAAGUUGUUCUCAGUUCGGAUUGUAGUCUGCAACUCGACUACAUGAAGCUGGAAUCGCUAGUAAUCGUAGAUCAGCAUGCUACGGUGAAUACGUUCCCGGGUCUUGUACACACCGCCCGUCACACCACGAGAGUUUGUAACACCCGAAGCCGGUGGAGUAACCUUUUAG